rnacentral:rRNA from 1 species
UACGAAGGGGGCUAGCGUUGUUCGGAUUCAUUGGGCGUAAAGGGUGCGUAGGCGGCGGGGAAAGUCUGAUGUGAAAUCCUGGGGCUCAACCCUGGAACUGCAUUGGAUACUUCCUUGCUAGAGUACUGGAGAGGAAACUGGAAUUUACGGUGUAGCAGUGAAAUGCGUAGAGAUCGUAAGGAAGACCAGUGGCGAAGGCGAGUUUCUGGACAGUUACUGACGCUGAGGCACGAAGGCCAGGGGAGCAAACGGG